rnacentral:tRNA from 4 species
GGCGAGAUAGCUCAGUUGGUAGAGCACACGACUGAAAAUCGUGGUGUCCCCGGUUCGAAUCCGGGUCUCGCCA